AGCUCUCUGGUAUAGUCUAGGGCAAUGGUUGAGGAGAAGGAUACCUCAAGAGGAAAAGUGAAAGGACAGGGGACAGGGACAAUGCAUUCUA